CUUUAGAAGUAGGCAACAAUCAUCUGCUUUUGAUGAGUAUUGAGAGGUUAUAUUUUGUGUCUUAAACACAUAGCCAGGAAGACCAUAGACCUUUUUAUUAUUUUUUUUUAAGGUCAACAGAUUGCUACUUUUGUACCCUUAACAGGAGGAUGAGAAGAAUGUAACUGCCCUGAACUUUAUUUUCUUCAUCUGUAAAAUAAUACUACUGAUACAGAGGGAGGGGCAAGAUCUCAUUUUGGCAUUUGGGAAUUUACACAAAAAAUUUCCUGUUACUCAGCCCAAAGAAUUUCACUGUAUCAUGGUCCAUCAGGAUCCAGCAUUCAUUCCUGCUCUGUAUAACUUUAGUAUCAAGAACAAUACAUGCAUCAUCUAAUUUAACUGCAAAUGGCUCUUUUUAGCAUGAAUUGACUGUUUAAAGAGAAUGCACAACAGAACUCCUAAAUGCCUCAUGGAAGCUAUGGAGCACCCCACAGGAAAAAAAAUCUCUUUUACCAAGAGCUAAAAGUAAAUGGAAUAAACUAUAGAGGAAAUUAACUUUCAUCAAUAAUUUCUGGAGAGUGCUACACUGAGGCCAAAUGUACCUGAAAUCCCUUGGUGAGAUGAUUCAACUUUGGUCCAGACUUUGCUCUCAGAGGUUGUUGGAGAUCACUGAAUGGGAUUUCAUCAAUUUUCCUCCAAACUCAUUUUCUAAAAAAACAAACAAACAAACAAAAACAAACAAACAUGAAAUGAGGAAGAGCUAAAAGAGAUGUUUUCCUCUGUGCUCUUUUAGAUUCAUAUCAAAGAAUUAUGCUUAAUAUAGGUAAUUAUAUUUGGAUAAAUUGUAAAUUAUUUUAGUUAGGAACACUGCUUCAGAAGGAUAUUAAUAUAUCAGAAAAUAUUUGAAAUAGGCAUUUCUUUUGUUCUGGAU
rnacentral:lncRNA from 1 species